rnacentral:rRNA from 1 species
GCUCAGAAUGAACGCGGGCGGCGUGCCUAACACAUGCAAGUCGAAUGUGCCGCAAGGUGCAUGGCAGACGGGUGAGUAACGCGUGGGCAAUCUACCUAUCAGUGGGGAAUAACGAUCCGAAAGGAUUGGUAAUACCGCAUGCGACCAUCGGCUGGGAUGCUGGUGGUGAAACCUGGGGACCGCAAGGCCUGGGGCUGAUAGAGGAGCCUGCGUCUGAUUAGCUAGUUGGCGGGGUAACGGCCCACCAAGGCGACGAUCAGUAGCCGGCCUGAGAGGGUGAUCGGCCACACUGGAACUGAGACACGGUCCAGACUCCUACGGGAGGCAGCAGUGGGGAAUUUUGCGCAAUGGACGAAAGUCUGACGCAGCAACGCCGCGUGGGUGAUGAAGGUCUUCGGAUUGUAAAACCCUGUCGUCGAGGACGAAGGUGGGGUCGUUAAUAGCGAUCUUGCUUGACGGUACUCGGAGAGGAAGCCCCGGCUAACUCUGUGCCAGCAGCCGCGGUAAUACAGAGGGGGCAAGCGUUAUUCGGAAUUAUUGGGCGUAAAGGGCGCGUAGGCGGUUUCUUAAAUCGGAUGUGCAAUCCCCGGGCUCAACCUGGGAACUGCAUCCGAGACUGGGAGGCUAGAGUACUGGAGAGGUUGGUGGAAUUCCACGUGUAGCGGUGAAAUGCGUAGAGAUGUGGAGGAACACCAGUGGCGAAGGCGGCCAACUGGACAGUAACUGACGCUGAGGCGCGAAAGUGUGGGUAGCAAACAGGAUUAGAUACCCUGGUAGUCCACACUGUAAACGAUGAACACUUGGUGUGGAGGGAGUUGACCCCCUCCGUGCCGGAGCUAACGCGUUAAGUGUUCCGCCUGGGGAGUACGGUC